ensembl:snRNA U6 U6 spliceosomal RNA
AAAAAAAAUUUUUUUAAAUACUAAAAUUGGAAUAAUACGGAGAAGAUGAGCACGUCCCUGCGGAAAGAUGACACACGCAGAUAUGUGAAGCGUUCCAUAUUUUU